UACGUAGGGGGCUAGCGUUGUCCGGAAUCAUUGGGCGUAAAGCGCGCGUAGGCGGCCCGGUAAGUCCGCUGUGAAAGUCCAGGGCUCAACCCUGGAAAGCCGGUGGAUACUGUCGGGCUCGAGUCCGGAAGAGGCGAGUGGAAUUCCUGGUGUAGCGGUGGAAUGCGCAGAUAUCAGGAGGAACACCUGCGGCGAAGGCGGGUUGCUGGGCCGACACUGACGCUGAGGCGCGAAAGCGAGGGGAGCGAACGGG
rnacentral:rRNA from 1 species